UAACGCAUGUUCAAGGUCGUUUAUCAGACGUUCGUCCGGUAAAAAUCCUAUUCCAUUCCUCCGACACAGUUAAAUUUUGGACGCAGUCAUGAAAGUUAUACGCUAUUAUCGUGUCGUUAUUAACUGAAGCGUGACUUUGCUUUUUUCCCCGUCAAUGAAGUAUUUCACGUGACAGAUGCGCCAAUCAAGAAAAUAUGCUUCGAAGCGGUGAAUCAUUUGUGAUGCUGAUUCUCCUCUGCUAUCCCACCCCGUGGACCAUCCGAGCUCUUUUUACGAUAGAUCGAAAGAUGUACAAAAAAAUGUUCGUUUCGAAAUUUCGAAAAAUGAGCAGAACGACCACAUAGCUCCGUGAUGGAAAUGCUGCUCAGCAUCUGAUUGAUUCAGACUUGCUUUGAACUUCUAAUUGCGGAUAUUCAUCAGCUCAUGUAGUUAGCCAUGGAGUUAUGCCAGUGUGAUAGACGCAAUAAUUACGUAUACAUGGAACGUGCGACAUCUAAGCUGACUCAUCAUCAAACAGCAGCCCGUUAAAAUGGGUCUUGCAACACGAUGAAGUUGAUACAUUGUUGAGAGUUAUAUUUGUGACUGUGUCAGGAAUUUUACUGCAAUUGUUAAGAAUAUUUCAUGAAAGGAGUUAUUUGAAAUAACAGUAGCAGUCGAUGGUGAAUAUAACAAUGAGCUCAAACUGA